UGUUCAUUGCAACGAAAAAGAGCAAUGCAUAACAGGAAGUGCAAGAGUAGUGUUGUUGCUUGGCAUACAGCUACAAUGAUUUUUCAAUGGACACGGCUAAGUGAGGCUUUGGCAAUGCUGAUCGGCAUACUGCCUCUAAACGACAGGGUAGCCAACUCAGUCUGGUCGCUGGCAUUCUAGCUCAAUGAAAACAGACCAGCGUGCUGUAGCCUGUAAUUUAUGAAAGACUGGCUAGUAAGUCGACUGCACUUUUGAACAUGCACAUGGUAUUUAGCAAGCCAUGCUGUGUACCAUGUCGAGGCGGAACGUAAAUUUGAUUUGAAUGGACAGAAAAAUUGUUCUGACCGAAAAGCCGCCAGUCCUGACGCCCUCCCUGGCAAUAUAGAUUGUUAAUGUGUGUGAUUUUGCCGAUAGGGAUCGUUUGGGACUCACAAGAUGAACUGUUGAAGUGGGUGACGUGCAGACGAAAGAAACAAUUUGUUCAGAAAUAUUAUGCUACUCGUUCGCUUUAAAAUUUUACUUAACGAGCGACUUAACUCACUGUCUGGGUCGCUGCAAAACUAUGGAAAUGUCCCAGAUUUUGAAAGACCGGCAUGUGACCGUGAGAUCGGUUAAGACAAUUAUACAGCUUGCAGCGGAUACGUCUGCUGCUUGCCUAGCUAGAUGUUUAGCUAGCUACCGUUGCCGUAACAAAGAUGUUGAAGUUGUCGGCCAUCUGACGUCAGUAUAGGAGGCCUCCUCUUGCUGGGAACGUGUGCCAGGCAGUGAAUAUGCCCAGUGGGCUAGUAAGUCGACUCUGCUGCUACGAGGUGGCAGAGGAAAAGAGCUAACCAGCUACGAGAAGCCAGAGAGGAGAGCCAGCACGGCAGCAGAUAUGACGGAGCAGCCUGCUGUCACAGAGCCGGUGAUUACCGCCUGAGGCUGUGAGAUAGCCCCGAGGUCUGCUAACUGCUGCCAGUGCUUGCAGAAGAAGUAUGCAGCGUGGCGUUGGCUGACGGGAGUUGAUGUGCCUCGCAUGUUGUUGACGAGGAUGACAGGCCUGUUCCUGGCUGUGGGCUUCCUUCUCUUUCCUUUCUACUUCCUGUCAUGGUUGGAGAUGAAGAAACAUCACCACUCGUCAGGGGACACGUCUCACCAGACAGCCGACCAAUUUCCUGUCCCGUGCACUUCCCCCUCCCGAUUUCCUCAGCAGUGCCGAAAGGCACAAAGAUCCAUAAUUCACUGUCUUUGUCAAAGAGGGAGCAUUUGAACAUUUUCUCUGGACAGUAAUAAGCAGGGUGCUCUAUGGGGGUUUGUCACCAAAAAACAACCGAUCUGCAGCUUUCGAGUUUUGGAAAUUUAUUUGCCAUGCCCUUAUUUUCUCCCAGAUCUCGACCUCGCGACAGCGAAACAUGUGACCUUUACUUUAACAUAUGCAUGUGGCAUGUUAGCAAAACCCACUUCCCUUGUUUGGAAAGAGUUUUUGAUAAGUGAAAGAGCACUGGGAGCUCAUUCAGUUCUAAGGGCAGUUCCUGUUUAUAAAGAAAUGCUGCUUUUUUCUUGGAGGUCAAUCACCUCCAUUGCCCAUAUUGUCUUCUGUGAUGAUACAUGGCGAACUGUAAUAAUCAAUUUCAUUAAUUUAAUUCAUAUAUUGUUUCUGCCAGGGACUUAAGCCACGGCCUCCUCCUAACUUUAAUAGGAAAAUGACAAUCUAUAUUGAUAAAAUGUUGAUAUAUUUGUGGAUGCACUUAAGUCCAUUUCUCCAUUGGCUUGUUUUUCUGCAGCAUGCUGUGAUCUGCUUCCAUUUACUGA